rnacentral:rRNA from 1 species
UACUAGAGUAGCACUCGCAUAUCAAUAAGCGGAGGAAAAGAAAUUAACAAGGAUUCCCCUAGUAACGGCGAGUGAAGCGGGAAGAGCUCAAAUUUGAAAUCUUAAAGGGUUUCCCUUUACGAAUUGUAGUUUAAAGAAGUGUUUUCUGUUGAGGUUUUGGUAAAAGUUCUUUGGAAUAGGACAUCAUAGAGGGUGAGAAUCCCGUAUUUGACCUUUACUUUCAACUUUGUGAUACACUUUCAAAGAGUCGGAUUGUUUGGGAAUGCAGUCCAAAAUGGGUGGUAAAUUUCAUCUAAAGCUAAAUAUUGGCGAGAGACCGAUAGCGAACAAGUACCGUGAGGGAAAGAUGAAAAGAACUUUGAAAAGAGAGUUAAACAGUACGUGAAAUUGUCAAAAGGGAAGCGUUUGACACCAGUGUUGUUUUUCUGAAAAUCAAUUAAAGAACUGUUUAUGCUAAGCUGUUUAGACUUUAUCAGCUAUCUGUUUAGUUUUGAGCUUUUCUUUAAUGCACUUUUCAGUUAACAAGUCAACAUCAAUUUCUUUUGCUGUAAAAAAGCUUGAGGAAGGUGGCUUGAGAUUCGUCUUAAGUGUUUAUAGCCUCUUGCCUAUGCAGUCGGAGAGAUUGAGGUCUGCAGCGUAGAUCCUUCGGGGCUAAAUGCAUUUGUGCUAAGUUAUAGCAUUUUAUAGACAACUUGUUGACUAUGAUUUGUCUUGUAGCUUACUCGCUUAUGUUAUUUUACCUACGCUUAGGAUGUUGAGCGCAUGUCUCUCUC